CUGGCAUAUUCAUCAGCCUUUUCAAUACCACUCCAAAACUUACUGGGCUUAAAAUAGCAAUCUUCUUUUAACUUUGUUUUCUUUCAUUUUUCUUUCUCCUUCCUUCCUUCCUUCCUUCCUUCCUUCCUUCCUUCCUUCCUUCCUUCCUUCCUUCCUUUCUUUCUUUCUUUCUUUCUUUCUUUCUUUCUUUCUUUCUUUCUUUCUGUCUUUCUUUUUUAUUUUGGUGGUACUAGGGAUUGAACCCAGGGUGCUUGUUCACUGAGCUACAUCCUAUCCCUUUUUAUUUUUUUUGAGACAGGGUUUCCCUAAGUUUCCCAGGUUGGCCUUGAACUUGUGGUCCUCUUGCCUUAGCCACCUGAGUAGCUGGAAUACAGGUGUGGACUAUCACAUUCAGUUAACUUUGUUUUCUUGAUUUGUUUCUGGCAUCUGCACUAUUUAUUUUUUUCUUUGAAUUCAAUGUUUAUUUUUGUUAUAUCUUAACAUUUUAUUCAUAUCUUUAUGAAGAAAACAUUCAUAUCAGCAUAAUCUGAGAAUGCAUAGAAAUUAUUCUAAAAUCACACUAUAUAUUAUUUAGGUAUAAUAAAUUUAAGGUAGCUGGCACUAUAUCUUCUUCAGUUGUAAGUUUUACUCCAAGUAUACUAGGAAACUUGCAAAAGGUACUCAUCAAGUAGGUUCACAAGAUUUAUGAUUUGUGUAUUGUAAACAAUCUUUUAUUUUUAUUUUUUAAUGAAGUGAGGUGGUUUUUAAAAAUUUGUUCUAAUUAUACAUGACAGUAGAAUGCAUUUUGACACAUCAUAUAUAAAUGGAGUGUAACUUCUCUUUCUUCUGGUUGUACAUGAUGUAGAGUUGCAAAGGUUAUGUAAUCAUAUAUGCACAUAGGGUAAUAAUGUCUGACUCAUUCUGCUAUCAUUCCUACACCUAUGCCCCCCCCUUCCUUAACUCCCUUCUGUCUAAUUCAAAAUACCUCUAUUUUUCCCCACUACCUUAUUGUGAAUUAGCAUCCGCACAUCAAAGAAAAUUCGACCUCUGGUUCUUUGGGAUUGGCUUAUUUCACUUAGCAUGAUAUUCUCCAAUUCCAUCUAUUUACCAGCAAAUGCCAUAAUUUCAUUCUUCUUUAAUCCUGAGUAAUAUUCCAUUGUGUAUAUAUUCCACAGUUUCUUUAUCCAUUUACCUGUUGAAGGCACCUAGGUUGGUUUCAUGGUUUAGCAAUAUGGAAUCUCUAUACUGCUUUCCAUAGUGGUUGCACCAAUUUGGAGUCCCACCAGCAAUGUAUGAAUGUACCUUUUUCCCCACAUCCUCGUCAACAUUUAUUGUUGCUUGUAUUCUUGAUGAUUGCCAUUCUGACUGCAGUGAGAUGGAAUCUCAGUAUAAAUAAUCUUUUUAGAUGAUUGAAUACAUUUUAGUUUGCAGUUCCCAUUGAAAGUUUAAAAAAUGACCGAGUGACUGAGCUUCUUAUGUUAACAAUCAAAAAAUGAUUUCUAUGAAGAAAAAGAAAAGUCACAAAAUUUAACACACAUUAAUUCAAUCAAACAUCUGAAAGACAAAUAUGUGUUAGAAAGGAUUAAAGGCCAAAACUAUUGUGGAUUUCCUGGUCUAGUAGAGGGAAGGAUCUGAGAUUUCCCAGGGUUUCCAUUUAGGCUUUCUGCUCAGGGAAUGUAAUCACUUUACACAUCAACUCUAGCAAAAGAGGAGAAGAAAUUCAUUGGCAGCAAAAUUGAGUAAGGCAAGAGUAAAAGAUUAUCAUACAUAGACCUAAUGACCUUUGUAAAAUCAAACUUUGCAGAUAUUAAUAAAAAUAUUAAAUCAUAUUUGUGCACUGAGCAAAUUACCAUUGGUAAAAAUAAUGAAAUAAAUAGCAAACCUAUUAUGAAAUUUAACAAUGGAUGUGUCAGUUUAUAUGCUAUUUUGCAUUACCAUUGGUGUUGAUGUUGGUGAGUUGAAUUUAAGUAACUCAGCUUGUUUGAUAACUAUGUUUUCUUUCCUUACUCAUUUUAAGCAUUUUUUGAUGAAGUUUUUAUGUCUCAUUAUUUAUCAGUUUCAUAUCCCUUAAUAAUUUAUUGAUCCAUUGCUGGUUUCAAGUAAUGACUGAAAAUUUUUGAAAUGUAGUUUUGAGCUAUUAACUUAGGAAAAAAUUUUACAAAUAUUCUUAAAUUUCAGUAGCACUACCUACACAGCAGGACUUUGAGCAGGACCCACAGUUCCUCACAUGACUAAGGUAAUCUUUCAUUCUCGUUGAUGCCUAUUUCUAGAAUCCUGAGGCUCUGCUCAAACUGCUCAGCACACCUGUUGGUCUACCCUUAACAUUUGCUCCCUUCUUCAUAGAAAAAUAUCUUGACUCUCAAGGUUGAAACUUUUGCUUUAUAUCCUCGUAUUUAAACAUUCUCUCAGCUCUCACUGGAACUUCCUUUAUUUCUUAAGACAGAGAACAAAAUAGCCUACUCCUUUUCAAUGUUAUGCUUUCAUCUUGCUUCUGACCCACUCCCUUCUUAUCCAUGCCCCUUUGAAAAAAGAAGCUCUCCAUCUGUAACUUGAUUUCUCCUUUGUUUUCAGCAUUUUCCCUUUCACUUCCCUUUCUAAAUUUCAUUUAAAAAGAAAAACAAAAAACCUUUCCUUGAACAGAGCAAUUCAUUUUGGCUACCAUCCAAACUUUCUUUCUCUCAUAAUCAAGAUUCUGGAGGGGGGCCAGCCGGGGUUGUGGCUCAGAGGUAGAGCGCAUGCCUACCAUGCGUGAGGCACCGGGUUUGAUCCUCAGC
rnacentral:lncRNA from 1 species